ACUCAAAUGAAUUGACGGGAGCUUGCACAAGCGGUGGAGCGUGUGGCUCAAUUCGUCGCUAAACGAAGAACCUUACCAGGUCUAGAAAUCCUACUGCACGCCUCGGGAAACCGAGGAAGCCUUCGAGGGUGUAGGACAGGUGAUGCAUGGCUGUCGUCAGUUCGUGGUUUGAAUCGUUCCCUUCAGUGGGGUAACGAACGCAACCCUCGUUGCCUGUUACAAGUGUCAGGCGAGACUGCCCCCUCACGGGGGAGGAAGGUGAGGAUGACGCCAAGUCAGCAUGUCCCUCUGAUGACCUGGGCUGCACACGCGCUACAAUCGCCGUUACAAAAGGGCGCGACGGGGUAACCCUGAGCAAAUCCUCUAAAAGCGGCGCCAGUUCGGAUUGAGGUCUGCAACCCGACCUCAUGAAGCCGGAAUCGCUAGUAAUCGUGGGUCAGCUAUACCACGGUGAAUACGUUCUCAAGCUUUGUACACACCGCCCGU
rnacentral:rRNA from 1 species